GCCGGCUGUUGGCGGACGGGUGCCGCGCGGCUCCCUUUCGGGUCGCGUCGCUGACUCGGGCGGAGGAGGUCGCGCCGUUCGAGCCGGGGCAGCUCGCUC
rnacentral:tRNA from 1 species